rnacentral:tRNA from 1 species
GGACAGGUGGCCGAGUGGUUAAAGGCAGCAGACUGUAAAUCUGCCCGGGUAUCCGUACACUGGUUCGAAUCCAGUCCUGUCCACCA